AAUACAAAUCAGCUGGGGACGCCAUUUUGGUAACCUAUAAAGCAAUUAUUCUCAUGUAAAAAGCUGCUAUAUAUUUUCUAAUUUUUUGGUAUUCUUGAAGAUGUAGAUUUGGAGAAACCUGCUAGUCAUAAUGUUUCAAAAACAAUUGACACUAUUAAUAUUCUUGAAGAUGUAGAUUUGGAGAAACCUGCUAGUCAUAAUGUUUCAAAAACAAUUGACACUAUUAAUAUUCUUGAAGAUGUAGAUUUGGAGAAACCUGCUAGUCAUGUAAGCC